ensembl:lncRNA
UUUUUUAAAGCCCUAAAAAUAAAGGUUCCAAAUGGGGGUUUUCAUAGUGAUGCAACAGAAGAACCAUUUUUGGUUCCCCAAAUAACCUUUCAGUGACCAGUUCUUCAAGGAACCAUGUUUUUCUUAGUAUGAAGACCAUUUAAGUAAUAUAAACAACACCUUUCAUUACGAAUAACCUUUUGUGGAAUUGAAAGUUUCCAUGGAUGUUGAAGGUUCUUCUUGGAACCAUCAAUGCCAAUAAAGAACCCUUAUUUUUAAGAGUGUAAAAUUGUAACCAUUUCUUCAAAAAACAUAUGUUUUUGUACAGCCCUACCUUAAAAGAAUGAUCCAGGCUGUUACACAGCACCUGCCACGGAGGAGUGUACCUGAACAUGGUGUUUGCUGCAGUACUAGAGUUUGACAGGAAAACGCUAGCAUGCAGUUAACUUAAAUCAAUCUUAAUGAGUCCUGGAGAGUGAACAGAAGAGAAAAAUUAUUUUUAUGUAUCAUAACCUAACAAGAAUCACCAUACACUAGUAUGUGUCAGAUAUUACAAAAUAAUGUAUUAUAAAAAAAUACUUUUAAGUGUAAAAGCAAUCAAAGUAAAUAUAUAUAUAUAUGUAAUGUAAUAUGUGAUACAAUUUGUUUGAUUUUACUCUCAUUCUUCCUCAUUCAGAAUGACUCACCUCAUCUUUUGCAGGCUAAUGGAUCCAGCGAGACCAUUGUGUGUAAUGGCACUGAAACAUUCAGUGAAAGCAGGGCCACCCUACCCCAUCAGUACUGCUGCAGGUGUCAGUCUAGUAUUUAGUCAGUCUUCAUCCACUACCCAAAAAACUUGUUUUGGCUCAGUUGCUCUGGUAAAGCUCCUCCUCCAAUAUGGCUCCAAUAUGGUCAAAACAAGAGGUAUCACCUUAAGCCAAAAUUCCCAAAAUGUGUGUGGGGUGACCUGGCCCAUGGUCAAAGAUUCAGUGCAUGCAUGCGUGUGUGUGUGUGUCUGUGUGCUGAUGACUGUGAUACCAGUCUGGAAUGCUGCUACAAUCAGCAACCUUAGGACAAAAGCUGAGAAUACCCCCUACCAUCCCAUAAUGCACCUCAUAGUUGCUCUGAAGCCUGGUCAUUUAAUCAUUGACAAUGGCAUUGACAGUACCGCAGUGGCUCUUAGAUUAGUUCUGAAUGGCAGCAGUGGUGUCCCUCAGGUCUCACUACUAGGCCCGCAACCAGUUUGUAUUAUUAUUAUUAUUAUUAUUAUUAUUAUUAUUAUUUUCAUUUAA